AAGUCGUAACAAGGUUUCCGUAGGUGAACCUGCGGAAGGAUCAUUAAUGUAAGCCGGAUCGGCUUCGUGGCAGGUGUAGAGCUUGUCGCGGGCUCGCGAAGGGAAUAUCAUACACCCUAGUUGUUAAUUUACCUUUGUUAGCUUUGGCGGGCCGAUCCGCAAGGCGUCAGCUCCGGCUGACCGCGCCCGCCAGAGGACCCAAAACUCUUUUAUCAGUGAUGUCGAGUACUAUAUAAUAGUUAAAAA
rnacentral:misc_RNA from 1 species